UGGCAAGAGAGAUGGCUGCAGCGCGAAACGCCGAAACGGCGAAUCGAGUGCAUCCGGCUCGGGCCGCUCGGUGCUAUUGAUUCUGAUUCAGGCAGCUCCUGGAUUCGGAUUCUCAUUCCGCCUGCGGAUUUGGACUGAGUUUGAUAUUGCGCAAAUACACAGCUACCCGGUGGCCUCAGUUCAGCAUUUCGCAUGUUGAAUUUGUGGAUUCGCUUUUCUUUUCGCUGCGACAUACAGGCGACGCGAUUAUUUGCCUUUCGCGAUUUGCAGCAGGGCAUGGCUGGGUUUUUUAAACGCUAUAUUACCAGGAGCUCCACACAAUAGGAACUAUCGGAUGCCGCUGGCCCAACCAAAUAGAUUUGAUCGAAUGGCUUUGAGCUAAUCUAUAGGCUGUUAUUGCAGCAAAUUCUAACAAAGUCAUCUUCGGUGCUACUAAUUUUGAAAGGCUUACUGUCCAUUUGGCACAGCGUCGAGGCAGCGGUGCGGUUCGCGAACCACAUUUCUAUCGUUUGUUUUACGCGUUCCUAUCGUGUUCUAUAGAACUUGACAUAUCGUUAAUUUUUAAAGUGCUCUCUCGUUCUGCGUUUUGGCUUAUCAUUUUAAACUUUGCCCCUCUUUAGCUCUCCUCUUUCACUUCCGUCUCUAAACCUUAUCUCUCAAGCUCUCCUCUGUAUGCGAGUAUAGUGAUCCCGACCAAGGUUUUAUCUUUGAUCUCACCUUGGUUGGUUUCACCAAAUUUUUUAUUUCCUUGGGGACGAUCUGUGGUUUUGCCUAUAUCAAGUAUGUGUUGGCCCGAGCUCAUGCAAGUGGGCGAAGCAUUAACAGAAUAAUUGAAUAUGAGAGGAGGCGAAACAUAUAUAACUAUUUAUUCCAAUUGCCAAACUGUUAUAAAUCACUUCAAACUCAAUAUGAGAGUUAUUCAUGCACAUAUUUUAUAAUCAAUUCACAUCAAAUUAUACUGAAAUGAUAACUACCAUAUCAAGCAUUUUUGCAAGCAUAAAAUACCAAGCAUUGCUUAUCUAAACUUGAAUUUCUUUAUAAAGAAUUCAAUCAUAGUUUGAUGGUUAGGAUAUUGCAACAGGAAACUGAAAAUAUAACAUUAAUAGAUUUAAAAAAACACAUGAAGCAUUAAAAGAAUUAAGAUAUCAAAUCAAAUAAAAAUGUCUCACCGAAAUGCCAACAUAAAUGCUCAUUUUCCCUCAUCCUCAAAUCCCCACAUAAAAAUCACCAUGGCAGUCAGUAAGCCGAAAUGUCCAAAUCAUAUGCUAAAAUCAUACCCAACACAUGCGAAAUUCUCCCCACAUAAAAAAAUCUUAAUGCCAACCAGUAACCCUAACUUCAUUAUCAAAAUAGAGUUUGAAAAAACCGAAAUGCUAAGUUGCAGAGGACCAAAAUUUCAUAGAGAAAACUGACAAAAAAAAAAAAAACAUAAUUUU